rnacentral:rRNA from 1 species
GUGUGUGAAGAAGGCCCUAGGGUUGUAAAGCACUUUAAGUUGGGAAGAAAAGUUAUUGGUUAAUACCCAAUGACCGUGACAUUACCAUCAGAAUAAGGACCGGCUAACUCCGUGCCAGCAGCCGCGGUAAUACGGAGGGUCCAAGCGUUAAUCGGAAUUACUGGGCGUAAAGCGCGCGUAGGCGGUUUAAUAAGUUGUAUGUGAAAGCCCUGGGCUCAACCUAGGAACUGCAUACAAAACUAUUAAGCUUGAGGACGAGAGAGGAGAGUAGAAUUUCAGGUGUAGCGGUGAAAUGCGUAGAUAUCUGAAGGAAUACCAAUGGCGAAGGCAGCUCUCUGGCUCGUUUCUGACGCUAAGGUGCGAAAGCGUGGGUAGCAAACAGGAUUAGAUACCCUGGUAGUCCACGCCGUAAACGAUGAUAACUAGCCGUUGGGCAGAUUUAACUGUUCAGUGGCACAGCUAACGCAUUAAGUUAUCCGCCUGGGGAGUACGGCCGCAAGGCUAAAACUCAAAUGAAUUGACGGGGACCCGCACAAGUAGUGGAGCAUGUGGUUUAAUUCGAUGCAACGCGAAGAACCUUACCAACCUUUGAAAUCCAGAGAAGUCACCAGAGAUGGAGAUGUGCCUUCGGGAACUCUGUGACAGGUGUUGCAUGGCUGUCGUCAGCUCGUGUCGUGAGAUGUAUGGUUAAGUCCAGUAACGAGCGCAACCCCUAUCCUUAUUUGCCAGCGCGUAAUGGCGGGAACUAUAGGGAGACUGCCGGUCAAAAACCGGAGGAAGGCGGGGACGAGGUCAAGUCAUCAUGGCCCUUAUAGGUUGGGCUACACACGUGCUACAAUGGGAUGUACAGAGGGUUGCGAAAGCGUGAGCUGGAGCCAAACCCUUAAAGCAUUUCGUAGUCCGGAUUGGAGUCUGCAACUCGACUCCAUGAAGUCGGAAUCACUAGUAAUCGCGAAUCAGAAUGUCGCGGUGAAUACGUUCUCGGGCCUUGUACACACCGCCCGUCACAUCAUGGAAGUGGGUUGCACCAGAAGUGGUUAGUCUAACCUUCGGGAAGACGAUCACCACGGUGUGAUUCAUGACUGGGAUGAAGUCGUAACAAGGUAGCCCUAGGGGAACCUGGGGCUG